rnacentral:rRNA from 1 species
GAUGAACGCUGGCGGCGUGCCUAAUACAUGCAAGUCGAGCGAACAGAUGAGGAGCUUGCUCCUCUGACGUUAGCGGCGGACGGGUGAGUAACACGUGGAUAACCUACUUAUAAGACUGGGAUAACUUCGGGAAACCGGAGCUAAUACCGGAUAAUAUAUUGAACCGCAUGGUUCAUUAGUGAAAGACGGUUUUGCUGUAACUUAUAGAUGGAUCUGCGCCGCAUUAGCUAGUUGUUAAGUUAACGGCUUACCAAGGCAACGAUGCGUAGCCGACCUGAGAGGGUGGUCGGCCACACUGGAGCUGAGACACGGUCCAGAGUCCUACGGGAGGCAGCAGUAGGGAAUCGUCCGCAAUGGGCGAAAGCUUGACGGAGCAACGCCGCGUGAGUGAUGAAGGUCUUCGGAUCGUAAAACUCUGUUAUUAGGGAAGAACAAAUGUGUAAGUAACUAUGCACGUCUUGACGGUACCUAAUCAGAAAGCCACGGCUAACUACGUG